rnacentral:misc_RNA from 1 species
AUGGAGAAUUGAUGAACGCUGUUCAUCAAUAUAAGUUUCCGUGUUUCGUUUUGUUCAGUUUUGAGAGAACUAUCUCUCAUAUAUAAAUGUAUGUUCUUUGAAAACUAGAUAACAGUGUAGCUCAUAUUUUUUUAAUUUUAGUUUGGUUAAGUUAGAAAGGGCGCACGGUGGAUGCCUUGACACUAGGAGUCGAUGAAGGACGGGACUAACGCCGAUAUGCUUCGGGGAGCUGUAAGUAAGCUUUGAUCCGAAGAUUUCCG